rnacentral:lncRNA from 1 species
UCAAGUGUCGAUAUCAAGUCAAAAUCUCACAUUCAUUCACAAUCAUUUACAAUUCAUCAUAAUGUCCAUUCCAUGAGGAAAAUACAAAAAAUAAUAAGCUUUAACCAAUUGUUGACUUUGGUCAACGGUUGACUUUUUGGUCAACUUUGACCAAAGUCAACUCAUCCAUUUUUAACCAUCUAAGGCCUAAUCUAGCUCUUCUGCCUUGAUUCAUCAUCCAAGAGUCAUGAUUAAUGUGUUCGACUUUGUAUCUUCAUGUCCAAGUAACUUGUCUCAUUUUCAACUUCAUGUGUACCUUGCCAUGACUUGGUCUUGUGAUUUUGCCAACCAUGGUGCUGCACUGCUAACAGGGUCUUGCGUUCACCACAACCAAGCCUCACAGUCAUAUGAUUUGAUACUACACUUACAUCGGCCAUUUGAACGAAAGAAUGCUCAUGAGUUUGGUCUGAGACUCACUGAUAACCAUCCUGCCAUCAUCCU